rnacentral:rRNA from 1 species
AUUGAACGCUGGCGGCAGGCUUUACACAUGCAAGUCGAGCGAGCGGCGGACGGGUGAGUAAUAUCUGGGAAACUGCCUGAUGGAGGGGGAUAACUACUGGAAACGGUAGCUAAUACCGCAUACCAUCAGAUGUGCCCAUAUGGGAUUAGCUAGUAGGUGGGGUAAUGGCUCACCUAGGCGACGAUCCCUAGCUGGUUUGAGAGGACGACCAGCCACACUGGGACUGAGACACGGUCCAGACUCCUACGGGAGGCAGCAGUGGGGAAGAUUGGACAAUGGGCGAAAGCCUGAUGCAGCCAUGCCGCGUGUGUGAAGAAGGCCUUCGGGUUGUAAAGCACUUUCGGCGGGGAGGCGUUACGCGGAGAAGAAGCACCGGCUAACUCCGUGCCAGCAGCCGCGGUAAUUC